UUCAUCCCCAACGAUCCUAAACACUACUUACGCGGCCCUAUAAUCAGUUUAGAUGUGAGGUUAAUUUUAUAAAAGACUAAACAGCGGCCUGAGCAAUUCUAUAGUGCUGAAUACGUAGUUGCCUCUUCUCAUCCUAUGACUGCUUUACUUUUGCUUUAAGAUGCUGCACUGCUUGGUAUGCCAUAUGUGGUUUAUUACUAACUCCUGUGAUUGUUUUCUUCUUAUGACAGUGUAGGCAUUAUUGGAAUUCAUUACCAACUGCAAUACUGGACUACUGAUUGCUUCAGAUCAAAACAAUGAAUUCAUCAAAGAUUGCAAGUACCAAGACCAUGCAAUACUUCCAUCCAUCAGGAAAGGUUCUGACAAGGUAGCCUCACCGAGGAUUUGAGCUUGUUGUAUGACCACAUUAAACACUGAACACUUCAAUGACAUCAUCUGCUCUACUCCCCGAGGUCAUACACCCAGAGACUGCUGAUACUUUCAGAGAUGCAGACUGAGUCUUUAGAUAUUCAUACCUUCACUUAUCAAGCAGUCUGGAACAUGCUACCUAAAUGGUUGAGAAUGUCCCCUAUGACUUCAGACAUCUGGUUUUGAAUUUAAUUGACACACAGCAUGUCUUCCUCUAUUGAUUGUAUGGAUGACCUGAAUCUUUCAUUUUCCAGGUCAAUCUGCAUUUCUCAUUUCUCUGACCAAGACUCAGCUCAACAUUACCACUGCAUGAGCUUCCCAGAUGUUGUUUCAAUCAAUCACAUGAUUUAAUGAGGUGCAGAGAGCUCAUGAGUGCAGGCCUAGUCCCAGGAAUCUAUACCACCUGUACGUUUUAAGGUAAACUCUGAGUGAACUGGAAAUUGUCCAAAUAAACAUUUUUAUACAGGUGACUCCUCAGAGGUA